rnacentral:antisense_RNA from 2 species
CUUGAUCGAGCCGAGCCACAGCGGGUGUUCGGCGGUGUGCUCGCGCCCGUAGACGGCGAGCAGGGCCUGCGCCUC